rnacentral:lncRNA from 1 species
GCACCAAACACAAGUCAAAACCGAAAUAGUGAGUGUCAUAGAAAGAAAGUUCGAUGCUCGCACUCCUGGCACUUAUAUGAAUGAAUAACCUCUGUUCCGAGAACGCCUCCUGGAUCUGCUGCUGCAGAAAUAACCAAAAGAGCGGAACGCGCUGCGGUGGUGCGUUGCUGCCAUCUCCACAGAAAACGGACAAAACAGGACCAAACGGUUCGUUGUGAACUCUAGAUUUGUGACCGAAGAAGGCAACUUUUAUUUAAACAAUCAAGACGGCUUGUUUCAGCGAAAAGUGGAGAUAUGUUCAAGAAAAGCAAGAGUAAAGUCCUGGUGGAUUAUGCGUCAGAGGAAGACGACAUGUCCUGGCACUAUCAUCACUCCUACAAGGACAAAGACAUAGAAGGAGAGGAAGAGGAAGAGGAGGAGGAAGCUGUCACUGCAGUAUCCAAGGAGGCCAAGGUGAAGAAGAUCAUGUCCAAGAAAGAGAAGAGGGAGAAGAAGAUGUUCUCCUCUAAAGAUGAUGAGCACUUCUUGUUGACCGGAGUAAAGCUGGCGGACCGCAGAGGGUGAGGUUACACACACAAUAACUAUUAUUACACGUGUCACUCCUUCAUCAAGUAGCAUCAUAGUUUGUUGCGGUAAAGCCAC